rnacentral:rRNA from 1 species
AGCAGCCGCGGUAAUUCCAGCUCCAAUAGCGUAUAUUAAAGUUGUUGCAGUUAAAAAGCUCGUAGUUGAAUUUCGGGGUUAGCAGGUCGGUCGUGCCAUCGGUAUGAACUGGUCUCGCUGAUCCCUCCCUCUUGACGAACUGUGAUGCCAUUAAUUUGGUGUCGCAGGGAAUCAGGACUGUUACUUUGAAAAAAUUAGAGUGUUUAAAGCAGGCUCACGCUUGAAUACAUUAGCAUGGAAUAAUGAAAUAGGACGUUUGAUCCUAUUUUGUUGGCUUCUAGGAUUGACGUAAUGAUUAAUAGGGAUAGUUGGGGGCAUUAGUAUUCAAUUGUCAGAGGUGAAAUUCUUGGAUUUAUUGAAGACUAACUACUGCGAAAGCAUUUGCCAAGGAUGUUUUCAUUAAUCAAGAACGAAAGUUAGGGGAUCGAAGACGAUCAGAUACCGUCGUAGUCUUAACCAUAAACUAUGCCGACUAGGGAUCGGAUGAUGUUAAUUUUUAUGACUUU